CGGUAAUACGGAGGAUCCAAGCGUUAUCCGGAUUUAUUGGGUUUAAAGGGUGCGUAGGCGGGUUUUUAAGUCAGUGGUGAAAGUUUGCGGCUCAACCGUAAAAUUGCCAUUGAAACUGAAGACCUUGAGUGUAAAUGAGGUAGGCGGAAUGUGUUGUGUAGCGGUGAAAUGCUUAGAUAUAACACAGAACACCAAUUGCGAAGGCAGCUUACUGGGAUACAACUGACGCUGAGGCACGAAAGCGUGGGGAUCAAACAGGAUUAGAUACCCUGGUAGUCCACGCAGUAAACGAUGAAUACUAACUGUAUGCGAUAUACUGUAUGCGGUACAGCGAAAGCGUUAAGUAUUCCACCUGGGGAGUACGUUCGCAAGAAUGAA
rnacentral:rRNA from 1 species